rnacentral:rRNA from 1 species
GAUAAACGCUAGCGGCAGGCUUAACACAUGCAAGUCGAGGGGCAGCAUAGAUUGUAGCAAUACAAUUGGUGGCGACCGGCGCACGGGUGCGUAACGCGUAUGCAACCUACCCGUCACAGGGGGAUAAUCCGGAGAAAUCUGGUCUAAUACCCCAAAACAUAUGGAUCGGCAUCGGUUAAUGUUGAAAUUUUCGGAGGUGACUGAUGGGCAUGCGUAGCAUUAGCUGGUUGGUGAGGUAACGGCUCACCAAGGCGACGAUGCUUAGGGGGACUGAGAGGUGUUCCCCCCACACUGGUACUGGGACACGGACCAGACUCCUACGGGAGGCAGCAGUGAGGAAUAUUGGUCAAUGGGCGCAAGCCUGAACCAGCCAUGCCACGUGCAGGAUGACGGCUCUAUGAGUUGUAAACUGCUUUUGUACGAGGGUAAAGUGGGUUACGUGUAACCUUUUGAAAGUAUCGUACGAAUAAGGAUCGGCUAACUCCGUGCCAGCAGCCGCCGUAA